UACGUAGGGUGCAAGCGUUGUCCGGAAUUAUUGGGCGUAAAGAGCUCGUAGGCGGUCUGUCGCGUCGGCUGUGAAAACCCGGAGCUCAACUCCGGGCCUGCAGUCGAUACGGGCAGACUGGAGUUCGGCAGGGGAGACUGGAAUUCCUGGUGUAGCGGUGAAAUGCGCAGAUAUCAGGAGGAACACCGGUGGCGAAGGCGGGUCUCUGGGCCGAUACUGACGCUGAGGGGCGAAAGCGUGGGGAGCGAACAGG
rnacentral:rRNA from 1 species